AUUGAACGCUGGCGGCAGGCCUAACACAUGCAAGUCGAACGGUAACAGGAAGAAGCUUGCUUCUUUGCUGACGAGUGGCGGACGGGUGAGUAAUGUCUGGGAAACUGCCUGAUGGAGGGGGAUAACUACUGGAAACGGUAGCUAAUACCGCAUAACGUCGCAAGACCAAAGAGGGGGACCUUCGGGCCUCUUGCCAUCGGCUGUGCCCAGAUGGGAUUAGCUAGUAGGUGGGGUAACGGCUCACCUAGGCGACGAUCCCUACCUGGUCUGAGAGGAUGACCAGCCACACUGGAACUGAGACACGGUCCAGACUCCUACGGGAGGCAGCAGUGGGGAAUAUUGCACAAUGGGCGCAAGCCUGAUGCAGCCAUGCCGCGUGUAUGAAGAAGGCCUUCGGGUUGUAAAGUACUUUCAGCGGGGAGGAAGGGAGUAAAGUUAAUACCUUUGCUCAUUGACGUUACCCGCAGAAGAAGCACCGGCUAACUCCGUG
rnacentral:rRNA from 1 species